AACGCGAAGAACCUUACCUAGGCUUGACAUACACGGGAAACUGACCAGAAACGGUCGGCCCUCUUCGGAGCCCGUGCACAGGUGCUGCAUGGCUGUCGUCAGCUCGUGUCGUGAGAUGUUGGGUUAAGUCCCGCAACGAGCGCAACCCCCGCUCCCAGUUGCCAGCGCGUGAUGGCGGGGACUCUGGGAGGACUGCCGGUGCUAAACCGGAGGAAGGUGGGGACGACGUCAAGUCGUCAUGGUCCUUACGUCUAGGGCUACACACGUGCUACAAUGGCCGGUACAGCGGGUCGCAACCUCGCAAGAGUGAGCCAAUCCCCUAAAGCCGGCCUCAGUGCGGAUUGGAGGCUGCAACUCGCCUCCAUGAAGCUGGAAUCGCUAGUAAUCGUGGAUCAGCUACGCCACGGUGAAUACGUUCCCGGGUCUUGUACACACCG
rnacentral:rRNA from 1 species